ACGUAGGUGGUAAGCGUUGUCCGGAAUUAUUGGGCGUAAAGUGCGCGCAGGCGGUCCUUUAAGUCUGAUGUGAAAGCCCACGGCUCAACCGUGGAGGGUCAUUGGAAACUGGGGGACUUGAGUGCAGAAGAGGAAAGCGGAAUUCCACGUGUAGCGGUGAAAUGCGUAGAGAUGUGGAGGAACACCGAUGGCGAAGGCAGCCUUCUGGGCCAAUACUGACGCUCAUGCACGAAAGCGUGGGGAGCAAACAGGA
rnacentral:rRNA from 1 species